UAGUCUCACAGAGACUUGAACUCUGACCGUUCGGUUAUCAGCCGAGUGCUCUACCAUUGAGCUAUGAGACU
rnacentral:tRNA from 1 species